UUCUGGUUGAUCCUGCCGGAGGCCACUGCUAUCGGAGUUCGACUAAGCCAUGCGAGUCGAGAGGGGAAAGCCCUCGGCGUACUGCUCAGUAACACGUGGAUAACCUGCCCUGCGGUGGGAAAUAACCCCGGGAAACUGGGGAUAAUGUCCCAUAGGCUACGGAUACUGGAAUGUUCUGUAGAUAAAAGAUUUAUCGCCACAGGAUGGGUCUGCGGCCGAUUAGGUAGUUGUUGGGGUAAAGGCCCAACAAGCCUUUGAUCGGUACGGGUUGUGGGAGCAAGAGCCCGGAGAUGGAUUCUGAGACACGAAUCCAGGCCCUACGGGGCGCAGCAGGCGCGAAAACUUUACAAUGCGGGAAACCGUGAUAAGGGAACUCCGAGUGUCCGUAAAUUCGGACUGUCCGUAUGUUUAAAAAGCAUACGAAGAAAGGGCCGGGCAAGACCGGUGCCAGCCGCCGCGGUAAUACCGGCGGCUCGAGUGGUGGCCACUAUUACUGGGCUUAAAGCGUUCGUAGCUUGGUUGUUAAGUCUCUUGGGAAAUCUAUCGGCUUAACCGAUAGGCGUCCAGGGGAUACUGGCAAUCUAGGGACCGGGAGAGGUGAGGGGUACUUCAGGGGGUAAGGAGUGAAAUCCUGUAAUCCUUGGGGGACCACCUGUGGCGAAGGCGCCUCACCAGAACGGCUCCGACAGUGAGGGACGAAAGCUGGGGGAGCAAACCGGAUUAGAUACCCGGGUAGUCCCAGCCGUAAACGAUGCACGUUAGGUGUAUCGAUGACCACGAGUCAUCGAGGUGCCGAAGGGAAACCGUGAAACGUGCCGCCUGGGAAGUACGGUCGCAAGGCUGAAACUUAAAGGAAUUGGCGGGGGAGCACCACAACGGGUGGAGCUUGCGGUUUAAUUGGAUUCAACGCCGGAUAUCUUACCGGGACCGACAGCAAUAUGAAGGCCAGGCUGAAGACUUUGCCGGAUUAGCUGAGAGGUGGUGCAUGGCCGUCGUCAGUUCGUACUGUGAAGCAUCCUGUUAAGUCAGGCAACGAGCGAGACCCACGCCCACAGUUGCCAGCGUACUCUCUGGAGUGACGGGUACACUGUGGGGACCGCCGCUGCUAAAGCGGAGGAAGGAAUGGGCAACGGUAGGUCAGUAUGCCCCGAAUAUCCCGGGCUACACGCGAGCUACAAUGGUUGGUACAAUGGGUAUCUACCCCUGAAAGGGGACGGGAAUCUCCUAAAACCAAUCUUAGUUCGGAUUGAGGGCUGCAACUCGCCCUCAUGAAGCUGGAAUCCGUAGUAAUCGCGUUUCAACAGAACGCGGUGAAUACGUCCCUGCUCCUUGCACACACCGCCCGUCAAAUCACCCGAGUAGGGUCUGAAUGAGAGCGCUUUCUUUGGAGGCGUUCGAAUUUGGGCUUUGCAAGGGGGGUUAAGUCGUAACAAGGUAGCC
rnacentral:rRNA from 1 species